UUGAGCGGGGGACAACAUUUGGAAACGAAUGCUAAUACCGCAUAACAACUUUAAACACAAGUUUUAAGUUUGAAAGAUGCAAUUGCAUCACUCAAAGAUGAUCCCGCGUUGUAUUAGCUAGUUGGUGAGGUAAAGGCUCACCAAGGCGAUGAUACAUAGCCGACCUGAGAGGGUGAUCGGCCACAUUGGGACUGAGACACGGCCCAAACUCCUACGGGAGGCAGCAGUAGGGAAUCUUCGGCAAUGGACGAAAGUCUGACCGAGCAACGCCGCGUGAGUGAAGAAGGUUUUCGGAUCGUAAAACUCUGUUGGUAGAGAAGAACGUUGGUGAGAGUGGAAGGCUCAUCAAGUGACGGUAACUACCCAGAAAGGGACGGCUAACUACGUGCCAGCAGCCGCGGUAAUACGUAGGUCCCGAGCGUUGUCCGGAUUUAUUGGGCGUAAAGCGAGCGCAGGUGGUUUAUUAAGUCUGGUGUAAAAGGCAGUGGCUCAACCAUUGUAUGCAUUGGAAACUGGUAGACUUGAGUGCAGGAGAGGAGAGUGGAAUUCCAUGUGUAGCGGUGAAAUGCGUAGAUAUAUGGAGGAACACCGGUGGCGAAAGCGGCUCUCUGGCCUGUAACUGACACUGAGGCUCGAAAGCGUGGGGAGCAAACAGGAUUAGAUACCCUGGUAGUCCACGCCGUAAACGAUGAGUGCUAGAUGUAGGGAGCUAUAAGUUCUCUGUAUCGCAGCU
rnacentral:rRNA from 1 species